AUCCCCUUGUUCUGCCACUACAAGGAGUUUCAGGUGGGAGCUGUGGAGGAAGAAAGUGGUGGCAGAAAAGAUGUGAAGACUGCAGUGUAGGAUUGUAGAUAAGAGUGGGACACCUGAGCUCUAUACUGCAGCUACUGUCCUAUCAUUAUAAUGCAGCCUAUGUGUCCUUUUUCAUAAUAAUGAUAAUAAUCUGUGUUUAUAGAGCACUUUUCAAAAUCCAACUACUUCCCAUGGCAGCAAAAUAACACAGAUACGUCAUGAAAUCAACAGAUUUUACAACAUGGUGCAUAAAAACCCACACAGUGUAAGAAAUGAAGAAAAUGAAAGAUAAAACUGAAAUAAAAUGAUGUCUAAAGAAUUCAACUAACUUCUUUUCCUCAGGCUCAUUGUUCCAGGGCUUUAGGGCAUCUAACUCCACCCCAUUCAGUUUUCUCCUGGAACAGACAGAGCAGAGGAUCUCAAAGUAGCAUACAUGCAUAUAAGACUUCAGAGAUAUAGCAAGUAAUCAACCAAAUUACAGAAUCUAUCCCUACAUAAGCUAAAACUGUGAUUGCAUUUCCUAAAUCUGAUGUUUUAUACAGUCUGGAAUCGAUAGGUUUUUGGUUUAUGUAUGUAAAAAGGCAGUUGCAGCAAUCAAAGCAAUAUAAAAUAGAAGCGUGUCAAAUGUGUCUCUAAAAGUGAAGAUAGAGAGCAAUUUUGAAGUAUUUCUUAGAUGAUAAAAAUAUGAUUAUGCAAGCUCUGUGAUGAAACUCAGAUUACUGUCAAGCUAGACAUCAAGAUUCUUUAAAACAGACUUGGCAGGAUCCAAGAGAAAACCAGCUGACUGAAAAUCUGUCCAUGUGCGGUGACACAAUAACAAGAAUUUCUGUUUCUUGGGAAGGUACAUCUGUGUGUCAUCGGCAUAGAAAUGGACAGGGAUACUAUCUUUAUAUAUGUAUAAAAGCACCAAAGCAUAAGCCUGCAAAAUGAAAAUGGUCCUCAAAUUGAGCCAUAUGGCACACCAAAAAAAAGAUAUAUGUUUGUUCACGGAGAGAUAGAACCUCUUAUUUGACAAAUACGUUAAAACUGUUCUUAAGCUGUUUCUGAUCUCUUUAUCCACUGUCUCAGUCUUUCUAACAGGAUGCUGUGAUCAAUCAUGUCUAAGGCUGCACUGAGGUAAAGGGAUACCAGAAUUGAGCAUAUGCCAGCAUUAAAAGCUCAGUGGCAUCUCAGUGCUGUGGCCCCUCCACAAACCAGAUUGCAAGUUUUCAAAAAUGUUUUCCAAAACAGAUACAACUUGUUUGGACAUUUUGAAUGUGACGUGAGUGGAUUACAGCUGAGUUGCAAUAGGUUUGCUGUUCUAAACAAAUGUGUUUUGAGUUGUGUUUCCAUCUAUACAAUAAACUCUAGCUGAUGGAUGUGUAGCAGUAGUUGGUUUCAGACUUAUGGUGCUGAGUAUAGAGGUAGAGGUAGACAGCAGAGCAUCUUAAAGCACAGGAAGGGGUGUAUUAUAGAGGGAUUUGAAGGUAGGAAGUAAAAUCUUGUAAAAAGCCCUUAAUGACCAAGCUUCAUGGAUGUUAUUAUUACAAUAGCACUCUGCUGUCAGAGUGCAGGCUUACUUAUGGUUCCUGAAGUGACUAGAGGUAGAAUAGCAAGUAGAUGCUUCAGCUAUCAUGUUCCUCUCUUGUGGAACCAUCUCCUUUUUGAUAAAGCUCCAAGUAUAUUCUGAUUCACAUGAUCCUGAAUCAUUACUUAGUUAUGCUACUGUUGGCCAAGACUAUUGGGGGACUUCCCAUGAUGCACCUCUCCUGUGUUCUCUCUUUCUCUGUCAUACAUUUAUAUAACAGCAUUUCAUGACACUUGAUUUUUUUUUUGUCCUGUACUUCGUGUUUUGUCCUCUCUGCAGGCAUUUCUGGCUUUGGAACUACAUGUGUCAGCUCUGCGGUUGCUGGCUGCACCAACCUCCACAGUGUUUAUUAUUCUUUUAUGUGUUGCUUGUCUGAUUUCUACCAGUUAUCCCCUUUUCUCUGUCUUUUAACCUCAACCCGUCCUUGAGCCUGGUUCUGCAGAAGGUUUCUUCCCACUAAAGAAGAGUUUUCUUCUGUCAACAAAGCUCUUGGUCAGAGGACUGUGCUGGACUUCUCUUCAUAAUUUUGUGAAGUCCUCAUCUAACUCUUUGAUGUGCCUUGAGAUUUUACAUGUUGUGGAAUUGAGCAGGGAUCCAGUGGAGGUGAAUAAGGAGGCAUGUGAUGUGAUCGAAGGAAUUAUGGUGACGAUCCCAACAGCACGAUUUUAAAUGAUUUGGAAUUGGUGGAGAACUUGAUUGGAAAUUCCAGAGAGAAUCACUUUGCAGUAAUCAAUGCACAAUGUAACCAUGGUGUGAAUAAGAACUAACUAAUCAAUCAACUAAUUACUUCAGGCCUGAUCCAGAUCAAUCUAUAUAGACUACAGUGGCGCUAGAGGAGUUUACCCCAAUUAGUGGCUCUCAUUUGAACUGUAUGCUUUAACUGAGGAAAGGAAGGCUGAAUUUAACAGACAUGAACAUGGCAGCAGUGUCCAAAAUGGUUCCUGCUAACUUGACAUUAAACCUAAAAAUACCCUUUGCAUGUCAUUUGCAUUGAAAGUUACUAAGUUACUUCUAAGUUUAAGAGGUCAUGUAGUUUUCCCGGUGUUUUUGUAAGCAACGUCAUCGAGCUGAUAGUUAACACAGCCUGUUGUCAUGCUGCUAUCGCUGUUACAAUGAAAAUGGCAUUGAGCAUUAUUCAACAUUCGCACAUGGCUUUCACAAAAUAUUUCAAAGCUCCUCACCCUUCAGCUAGUUGCAUCCCUGAUCCACAUGCCAAUGAAUGAAACCCCAGGAUUGAAAUUCCCACUGUGGUGGUUUUAAAGAGAACAACCUUUACGGGUGUAGAUAGAUUAGCUGAAACAGCAUGCUUUCUGUUCGUCUAAUAGUCACAUCUAGUGAGCCAUCCUGUCCCUGCAGAGUCUGUAAACAGAUGUAUCGUCAAUAGAGGGAAUGCAGACCCUAAUCGACACUAAAGGUAAAUCACCAAGCAGUAAUCACUGACUACACUGAAACGUUGAAGGAUAAAGUCCAUCCCAGUCUUCACACAAUGUGUUUCAAUGAUAUUACACUGUUAAACAUUCUCACAGGAAAGAAAAGCAGGAAAAAAUGUUGGUCAAAGGUGGCUUGUAGAAAAGGAUCAAUUUGGAGAAAGAAAAACAAACAGGAGGCCAAGCAGCUGGUCUGGUUCCAUCUCCAGGACAGAGGCAGGCCAGAGGGAGACUUGAUCGCUUUCAGCAUCAUGGUCUUAAUGAUCCCCACCUCUGUGAGCAGAAGGAGCUGGUGAGCUCUAGCUCAUGACCAAAAUCCAACAGGAAAUCAGCCAUUUUGAAUUAUAUGUCAUAUUUUCAACGAUUUUUGGUCAUUUUUAACCAUUUUCAAAAGCUAUAUACUCAAACAGGAUAACACAGAGACAGCUGAAAUUUGGCCAGGAUGUACAGCAGGCAUGGGUGAUCAAAAGUUAUCAAAACGCUUUGCAAAAGUCUGAGGGCAUGGAAAUGGCAACCCCUGGAAAUUUACAAUUUGUCAUGAAUUCGCCAUGGAACAACAAAUGCAGUGUAAGGCCUGGGCGAUAUGACCAAAAAAUAAAAUCUCGAUUUUUUUAGUCAUCUAGGAUGAUUACGAUUUUAAUCGAUUUUGGUUUUUUCUUUGCAGUCUGUUUGCUAUGGCUAGUGCUAGCCAUGCCGCACUUCUGUAGCUGUGAGCACUCUUCCCAUUCUUUAGGAUGCCUCUGCCGGACAUGCAGAAAGAGAGGGAGCCCUGAGGGAGGUCGUCCCGGGUCAGCUCUCUGCAGCCAAACGCUUGGCAGGGCUGGGUUUUUGGAAUACGCCUGCCGCUUGUGCAAUCCCUUUUCUCAUCCUGCUUUCAGACAUCCGACGACCAUCAACAACCAUGGAGCCUGUGGCCCAGACGCUGAGCGCCAACGCAGCCUUCGACAGAGAGGCUCUUCCCAGAAAGGUCCUGCAAGCAGCACCCAGAGGAGCGUCGUCUCACUUUGUGGGGAGCUCCAUCAUAAUCCUGUCUGCAUUUGCUGUCUCCACGUUAGCUAUGAACUGUGGGAAGAGGAUCCAGGAGUCCAGACAGAAACCCGACAGGGACUAGCAGCGUCUGACGUAUGGAUACAGCUUUUACAGCUAAUGCUUGUAAACCUGGAGACGUCAAAGAAGAAUAUAUAUUUUUGUAAUGGUAUGAUUCAGAUGUUUUGCGGCUUUCACUUAUGGUCAGCUGUCUUUUGUGUUCUUGUAGCAAAACGAGAUGCGUGUUGUGUCUUGCGUAAAGUCUGUUCAAGUGUUAGCCUGGAGAAAAAGCCUGGAGAGUCAGAAGAUGAUGAAGCCCUCAGGGGAUGUCAAGCAAAUCAACAACACAAGAACUGUUGUGAUUUCUGGAACACAAGCAGCAGAAACUCAUCUCAAGAUGCAGUUACGGACGCCAAAUGUCUCUUACUGGAGAAAUUCCAAGAAGGAACCAACAUGCAGUAAUACCUUCAAACCUCAUCCUCCGUCUACCUCAUACUUGUAAACCGCACAAUAAUGGAUGGAAAAAACCUAUUAAUGAUAUAGUUCAAAGUAUAUCUGACAGCAUUAAUGUCAGUUAUGGUCAUUAUAAAUUCAUCUAAUAUUAUUAAUAAAACAAAAGAAAACCUUG